rnacentral:rRNA from 1 species
UACGUAGGCAGCGAGCGUUGUUCGGAGUUACUGGGCGUAAAGGGUGCGUAGGCGGCUUUCUAAGUCGGAUGUGAAAACUCUGGGCUCAACCCAGAGCCUGCAUCUGAAACUGGAGAGCUAGGGUUUUGGAGGGGAAAGCGGAAUUCCAGGUGUAGCGGUGAAAUGCGUAGAUAUCUGGAGGAACACCGGUGGCGAAGGCGGCUUUCUGGACAAAUACCGACGCUGAGGCACGAAAGCUAGGGGAGCAAACAGG